UACGUAGGGUGCAGGCGUUAAUCGGAAUUACUGGGCGUAAAGCGUGCGUAGGCGGUCUGUUAAGACAGGUGUGAAAUCCCCGAGCUCAACUUGGGAAUUGCGCUUGUUACUGGCAGGCUAGAGUGUGGCAGAGGGGGGUGGAAUUCCACGUGUAGCAGUGAAAUGCGUAGAUAUGUGGAGGAACACCGAUGGCGAAGGCAGCCCCCUGGGUUAACACUGACGCUCAGGCACGAAAGCGUGGGGAGCAAACAGG
rnacentral:rRNA from 1 species